rnacentral:ncRNA from 1 species
ACAAGAACUAUGAUAAGGAAGAGUAAUAAGCAUUAAAACUUUAAAAGAGAGUGGGGUAAGGUGAAAGCCCAUGGGUCAUAUGUUUAUGAAAAUCACCUUUGAGUCGCAGGUCGAACUAAAGUAGACUGUGCCGGGAUUAUAUCCGUUAAAGCUAUGAGUUAGAAAUUUGGGUGGUACCGCGAGUAGACUUUCGCCCCAGUG